CAUUUUCAUAGUUUGUUUGUGUUUAUUAUAGUGUUUUAAGCUAUUUUCGUGUGUUUGUAGGUCCAUAUAACAAAGUUGGCAAGAAAGUGCAUUUUGGAGCAUUUUUAGGUAGUUUUGGGCACCAAAUGGAUAGCUUAUGAAUGGAGCAAGAUGGAUGGAUGAAUUUGAAGUUCAAGAGGCUAGGAAUGUGCUGAAAAGAGUGAAGAAAUAAAUCCAAGACAAUGAAGAUAAGGAAUUAGCUCAAAAGAAGGAACAUUAUCCAGCCUUAUCUUAUCUAAACUAGCCUUAUCUUAUCUUAUCGUAUCAUUUCCAAAUCAGUUUGUGCCUGAAUUCUAGCUAUUUAUAAGGGAUAAUUAUACAAAUAAAACACAUUAAAAUUGGUUUCUAGAAGCCCUUAUCCACUCCUACAAAGGUGCCGCACCUUAUCCCUUGUUUUUCUAGGAAAUCAGCCACAAAACAACCUUUCUAGAAGACCUUAUCUCUUGUCCUACAAAUCUGGCGCCUAAACCUUUCUAAAAGCUCUAGAACCUGCAAUCCUUUUCCCUUAGGAUUGUGCAAGCCUUUUUCCUUCAGAUUUUGGUGAACCUUAGUCCUUUUCCUUCAUGAAUUGUGCCAAAUACACAUUCCUUUCCUUCAGAAAUUCGUGGGUUUCCCUAGCCCUAUAAAUACAACCCUGUGUGCAGCAAUUAAACCACCACCCUCUACCAUAAAUCACCUACAUCCAUCCACUACACCAUCCACCACAAUCCUCUUGUGCCGCAGCUAAGGAAGGAGAAGAAUGAGCCAUCUGGAGUGUUUCUAGGUGUAUUCUAUCUUUGUUUUCAAUGUUUAAUUCAAGUUAUCUUUGUUUAAUUGCGAACAUGAGGAACUAAUUUGUUUAUAGUUAGAGGGGAAUUCGAAACCAUGAUUAUACUUGCAAUAUGAAUUGAUUACUUUCAAUUGUGAUUUGAUAAAUUGUGAAUGCAAUUCGCUUAACUGUUUUAUUCAAAACUUAUUCUUGUAUGGUUAUUAAGGUGGCCAACUUAAUUUGCAUGCAUGAAUUUGAUGCUAGAAUGUAAGGGAGUUUCACCUAAUCGUUAUGAACUUAUAUUCAUAAGUAGUAAAGGUUGUUAGUCACAAUCAUGUUAAGUAAAUUCCUGGCAUAAGUAUCAUGCGCUUUCAUAGUUACGAAUGCCUUGUCAACACUUAUGAUUUUCAUAGCACUUAAUGAUCUUUGAUUGUGUCUCUAUUAUGCGCUUUCAUGUAGGGAACUUUUAAGGAAUAAUUUGAUUGUGAUGCGCUAUUUCCAUUCAAUUCAAUGAUUUAAGGAAGAUCUGAGGGUUAAUUUAAGCGUACCUAAUUAACUUGGGGUGUUGAGGUUCAUGGUUUAUUGAAAAGCAAUUGGAGAUUGAUUUGUAUGCAAGUGUGUCAUGUGUGAAGAAUGACCUUCUAGCUAGACCAUCACCCAUCCAAUUUCCCAAUUUUCGUCCAAAAUCUGUUUUAGUCUUUAAUUUGUUUGUUUUACUUUAUUUUCGUCCAAAACCCAAUCCCCCUUUACUUUGAAGUGUUAGAUUAGUUAAAAUCUGUUUUGGUUUGUGUUUUUAA
rnacentral:lncRNA from 1 species